CACCUUUCUCCUCUUUUUAAAACAACGUCGAACGUGUCUUAUCUGCGUGAGAGGAUAAAGACAAGAGGUUACACAUUUGAAUUCAAAUCAAAUUUGAAUUCAAACGAAAAUCAACUUAUCCCUAUCCUUUUGGGCGUGAGAAGAGAAGGGGUGUGGCUCUUUGUGUGUAGAAAAUGUUUCAUGAGAAACCUUUUCUCGUGUAAGUAAUGUGGCGCACAAAAUGGAUAAGGAUGAAAGGACAAGUGAUAAGUUAUCCAUUCAAAU
rnacentral:lncRNA from 1 species